GCUCGAGCGGCCCCGCCCCCCGCGCUAGAGGCGGAACUUGCCGAAGGUUUUCGGGUUCCUUCGGGCGAGGCGAAGGGGUUCCGCCCGCAGUGAGAAGGAUACCAUCCAAGAUACUAUGUUAUAUUUAGUAUCUUGUCUUCUUAGGCUCCCUUGGCUGUGGCAGUUUUUCAGACUUCCGUGUUUAUGAUGACCUUGACCGUUCUGAGGAAUACUGGUCAGGUAUAUGAAAAAGGCCACAGUCCCAUGGGGCCUGCCGGGCCUGCCACACAGUAGACACUUGGCCAUUGUUGACUUCAGAAUUCCUUCACAGGCAGGUUUAGUUAGAAGGAAGGAUUUGAAGAUGUGUUUAUCUGUCAUUUACACAAGAUGGAGGCAACGUUGCCCCUGAUGGAGAGAUGGAGGUCAUCCUUCCCGCUGUUGUCAUAUCUAAGUCGGUCUCCCAAAGAGCCCAGAUGGCUGCGGAAGCUCUUCACCUGCUGGAGGUUUGACCUUUGAAACAGCCAACGUGUCUGAGCAGCCGUGUUGAGCCAUGGGGAAGCUCUCAGACUGUGAUGAGAGAUCACGAUGCCACUGUGGAGGACGUGGAUGCAGCCACAGAUGCAGGGCCACACUGGGUGGAGAGAGGAGCUGCGGAAAGAUUUUUGUCGGUGGUAUUAAAGAAGACGCUGGAGAACAUCACCCAAGAGAUUGUUCUGAACUAUGGGAAAUGAAGUGAUUGACAUCAUGACUGACCGAGGCAGUGGCAAGGAGAGGCUGGCUUCUGUAACCGCUGAUGACCAUGACUUGCUUCUGUAACCGCUGAUGACCAUGACUCUGUAGACAAGAUUGUCAUUCAGAAAUACCAUCCUGUGAAUGGUCACAACUGUGAAGCAAGGCAGCCCUGUCUAAGCACGAGAUGGCUAGUGCUCCAUCCAGCCAAGGAGGUCGACGUGGCUUGGAAACUUCGAAGGUGGUCAUGGGGGAAAGCCAGUGGCCGAGGGGGCUCUGGUGGCAGCCGUGGUGGUGGUGAAUUGGUGGCAUCAGGGACAGCUGUAAUGGAUUUGGUGAUGCUGGAAGCAGUUUUGAAGGUGACAGAAGCUACAAUGAUUUUGGCAGUUGCAACAAUCAAUCUUCAGAUUGUGGACCCGUGAAAGGAGGAAAUUUUGGAGGCAGAAGCUCUGGCCCUUAUGCUGGUGGAGGCCAGUACUUUGCCAAACCAUGAAACCAAGGUGGCUGUGGCGGGUCCGGCAGCAGCAGCAGCCGUGGCAGAGGCAGAGGUUUUAAUUACUGCCAGCAAACAAAGCUUAGCUGGAGAGGAGAGCCAGAGACGUGACAGGGACCUCCAGGUUACAGCGGAUUCGUGAGCUCCGCCAAGCUCAGUGGGAGCAGGGCCUCGCUGCUACAAAGAAGACGUUCCAGUCAACACUCAUGUGGAUGAACGGGCAAAAUACUUGAGGACUGUAUUUGUGACUAAUUGUAUGACAGGUUAUUUUAGUCUCUGUUUUAUGGAAAGUGUAAAGUAUUCCGACAAAGGGCUUUAAUGUAUAUUUUGUGUGUG